AGAAAAACUCCAAGCUCUCUCUCAUUUUCGACUCCAAGUUUCACAAACUUUUUUCUGAUUUUUCUUCAAGAUCCUUCGAUCUUUUGUGCAAUUUGGCUGUAGAUUCACGUUUUGCAGGUAAUGCUGAAGUGCUGCUGAGCAAGAUUGAGAUGAAAUUGCAACAAAUUCGUGACUGUUGUGGAGCUGUCCUUCCAUGGUAAUCAAGAAAAUCCGUUCGAUUCUCGCAUCCUCGAGCUGAACGAACAUCAUCAUCCACCUUCCGCGGCUACACACUCCGUCUGUCUCGCUUUUGUUUUUGAGCUCUGCAGAUCGCCAUUUCCGCAACCGUCGUCAAGAGAGGUACCCUUUAGUCGCUCAGUUCUCUUAAGAACUUGCAUUGCUUUGCUUAUAAGCAAUUGGCAUUGAGACGCAUUUCACCGGUACUACACCAGAGCCAUCUCUGCCAGAUUGAUGGAUCAUCUUGAGCAAGAGAAUUGUGAACUCAGAGAGAUAUUUGCCAGACUAUGUACUAUUGAUGGAUUUAUUCCUGGUUAACCAAUCCCGGGCUGGCAUUGGCUACUGUUCUGGGACAUUUAAUGAGCAAGGCUUGUUCACAAGUGGAGGAUUCAUCCAUGAUGAUCAGUCUGUAGAAGAGGAAACUGCUGCUAUCAUUGAAGAAGACGCAGAGGAUAUGAGCAAUUUCGUUAUACCUGGUGGUGUCUGCCACAAUUGGGUCGCUGUGGAUGUUCCUACGGUCAUUCAUAAGUCAGAGUAAAUUUGUUCACUUUGUUUAAAACCCUUCUCCCACGCCAAAAGGAGAAGUGAUGACAUUGUUGGCAACAUUUAAAACAAUGAUGUUUUCAUUCAAUUAAUGCAUUGUUAAACAUUUGUUUUUC